rnacentral:hammerhead_ribozyme from 1 species
AUCCAGCUGACGGGUCCUAAAUAGGACUAAACGCACUUCUUGGAU